rnacentral:rRNA from 1 species
GGUUAAGUUAAUAAGGGCGCACGGUGGAUGCCUUGGCACUAGGAGCCGAAGAAGGACGUGACAAACGACGAUAUGCCUUGGGUAGCUGUAAGUAAGCGAUGAUCCAGGGAUUUCCGAAUGGGGGAACCCAACAGGUACUACCUGUUACCCGCAUCUGUUAAGGAUGUGAGGAGGAAGACGCAGUGAACUGAAACAUCUAAGUAGCUGCAGGAAGAGAAAGCAAAAGCGAUUGCCUUAGUAGCGGCGAGCGAAACGGCAGGAGGGCAAACCGAAGAGUUUACUCUUCGGGGUUGUAGGACUGCAAUGUGGACUCAAAGAUUAUAGAAGAAUGAUUUGGGAAGAUCAGCCAAAGAGAGUAAUAGCCUCGUAUUUAAAAUAGUCUUUGUACCUAGCAGUAUCCUGAGUACGGCGGGACACGUGAAAUCCCGUCGGAAUCUGGGAGGACCAUCUCCCAACCCUAAAUACUCCCUAGUGACCGAUAGUGAACCAGUACCGUGAGGGAAAGGUGAAAAGCACCCCGGGAGGGGAGUGAAAUAGAACCUGAAACCGUGUGCCUACAACAAGUUCGAGCCCGUUAAUGGGUGAGAGCGUGCCUUUUGUAGAAUGAACCGGCGAGUUACGUUAUGAUGCGAGGUUAAGUUGAAGAGACGGAGCCGUAGGGAAACCGAGUCUGAAUAGGGCGAAUUAGUAUCAUGACGUAGACCCGAAACCAUGUGACCUACCCAUGAGCAGGUUGAAGGUGCGGUAAGACGCACUGGAGGACCGAACCAGGGCACGUUGAAAAGUGCUUGGAUGACUUGUGGGUAGCGGAGAAAUUCCAAACGAACUUGGAGAUAGCUGGUUCUCUCCGAAAUAGCUUUAGGGCUAGCGUCGACAUAAAGAUUCUUGGAGGUAGAGCACUGUUUGGGUGAGGGGUCCAUCCCGGAUUACCAAUCUCAGAUAAACUCCGAAUGCCAAUGAAUUAUGGUCGGCAGUCAGACUGCGAGUGCUAAGAUCCGUAGUCGAAAGGGAAACAGCCCAGACCACCAGCUAAGGUCCCAAAAUAAUUGUUAAGUGGAAAAGGAUGUGGGGUUGCACAGACAACUAGGAUGUUAGCUUAGAAGCAGCUAUUCAUUCAAAGAGUGCGUAAUAGCUCACUAGUCGAGUGACCCUGCGCCGAAAAUGUACCGGGGCUAAAACAAUUUACCGAAGCUGUGGAUACCUUUAUAGGUAUGGUAGGAGAGCGUUCUAUGUGUGAUGAAGGUGUACCGUGAGGAGUGCUGGAACGCAUAGAAGUGAGAAUGCCGGUAUGAGUAGCGAAAGACAGGUGAGAAUCCUGUCCACCGUAAGACUAAGGUUUCCAGGGGAAGGCUCGUCCGCCCUGGGUUAGUCGGGACCUAAGGAGAGACCGAAAGGUGUAUCCGAUGGACAACAGGUUGAUAUUCCUGUACUAGAGUAUGUAGUGAUGGAGGGACGCAGUAGGCUAACUAAAGCAGACGAUUGGAAGUGUCUGUCUAAGCAGUGAGGUGUGAUAUGAGUCAAAUGCUUAUAUCUAUAACAUUGAGCUGUGAUGGGGAGCGAAGUUUAGUAGCGAAGUUAGUGACGUCACACUGCCAAGAAAAGCUUCUAGCGUUUAAACAUACUCUACCCGUACCGCAAACCGACACAGGUAGUCGAGGCGAGUAGCCUCAGGUGAGCGAGAGAACUCUCGUUAAGGAACUCGGCAAAAUGACCCCGUAACUUCGGGAGAAGGGGUGCUGACUUUACGUCAGCCGCAGUGAAUAGGCCCAAGCAACUGUUUAUCAAAAACACAGCUCUCUGCUAAAUCGUAAGAUGAUGUAUAGGGGGUGACGCCUGCCCGGUGCUGGAAGGUUAAGAGGAGUGCUUAGCGUAAGCGAAGGUAUGAAUUGAAGCCCCAGUAAACGGCGGCCGUAACUAUAACGGUCCUAAGGUAGCGAAAUUCCUUGUCGGGUAAGUUCCGACCCGCACGAAAGGCGUAAUGAUUUGGGCACUGUCUCAACGAGAGACUCGGUGAAAUUUUAGUACCUGUGAAGAUGCAGGUUACCCGCGACAGGACGGAAAGACCCCAUGGAGCUUUAC